CACGUAGGGCGCAAGCGUUGUCCGGAAUUAUUGGGCGUAAAGAGCUCGUAGGCGGUCUGUUGCGUCCGCUGUGAAAACUCGGGGCUUAACCCCGAGCCUGCAGUGGAUACGGGCAGACUAGAGGUAGGUAGGGGAGAAUGGAAUUCCCGGUGUAGCGGUGAAAUGCGCAGAUAUCGGGAGGAACACCGGUGGCGAAGGCAGCACUCUGGGACGUGACUGACGCUGAGACGCGAAAGCCUGGGGAGCAAACAGG
rnacentral:rRNA from 1 species